rnacentral:lncRNA from 1 species
AAAAAGUAAAUGGAGAUGAAUAUAAAAGAAAUACAACAUUGUAGCUGCAUCAACCAUUAUGGAGUCUUACAGUAGAAAAACAAGCUCAACUACAAGAGAAAAACCAUCCAUGGAAACGAAAAGGUGAGACAUACAUGGAAUAUUUCGCAUCCAAAAGCAUAAUAUAGGUUACUUGUGUUAGCAUUAUGGAGACAAGCAAGCCCCACCAUGUGCAAGUGGAAUUCUAGUCUCCCACUUAGCACAUGGUGGAGGACACCCCCCACUCCCACAUUUGUAUAUCUAUGUGUGUGCUGUGUAUUGUAGCUUGUGAACUGAAGCUGCGAGAGAAACACAGAGAGAGUUGUGUGAAACACAGAGAGAAGAGAGAGCUUGAGUGUAGAGUUGAGUUGAGAACAUUCUCCUCCUCUUGUUGUUGUAUUAUUUCUUUGUAAGCUUGAUUAAUACAACUAGUAGCUCCGUGGAGUAGGCAAGUUGCCGAACCACGUAAAUUAUGCGUGUUUGAGUUUUGGAUAUAACCCAACAACUAGUAUCAGAGCUUGUUCUUGACAAAGAGGGUGUUUGAUCCAAACUCAAAAAUCAAAGUUCUCAAAACGUGUUUUUGAACAUACCAUCGUGUAGAGGACAACCGGACGAAUCCACUGUUGAAAACCCGGCGAAGAACCGACGUCCUGCAUGCCCGCACGCGCCAACACGCGCCGACGCUAGCACUGCCCACGCGCACCAAAGCGCCGUACGCGCGCCACGUUCCUUCUUCGCCCGGUUUCUGCAAAACGGGUCGGGUCUGACCCGCCACGUCAGCAAAGUCAGACGGUCAGCGUCCACGUCAUCUGCCACGUCAUCUACCACGUCAUCCUAUCUGGGGUUUGAUCCAGUGCACCGCAGACGGUAAUCGUCUGACACGUGGCUACAUCAUCACCGUUGUGGGGUUUUAAUCUGGUGUGACGCAGGAACUAAUCAUCUGACACGUGGCUGAAUCAAGACCGUUUCUGAGUUUUGAUCUGGUGCGACUCAGGCUCUAAUCUUGUGACACGUGGCUGAAUCUACACCGUUACUGAGUUCUGAUCAGGUGUGACGCAGGCUCUAAUCUGCGGACACGUGGCUUAAUCUGCACCGUUAGUGAGUUUUGAUCCGGUGUGACGCAGGCUGUAAUCUACUGACACGUGUCUUCAUCAGAACCGUUAUUGAGUUUUUAUCCGGUGUGACGCAGGCGGUACUCUGUCUGACACGCGGCUGCAUCUGAACCGUCCGUUAAUCCAAAACUUUGAUUGCUAAAAUCUGAGCCAUCCGAAGUCCGAUUGGGGUGAUCUCAGUGUCAUUUCCAAGGUUUUUGGCCGUUCGGACACAUCUGUAAGGUCAGAUUUGGAAAUUCGAAUCGGAGAAUAGUAAAAAUGGCAGAUGAAAUAAAGGCUGCUGGAAUUGAAAAAUUUGACGGAACAGAUUUUGGAUACUGGAAAAUGCAAAUUGAGAUUAUUUAUAUGGGAAGAAACUUCAUCUUCCCUUAUUGGGAAGCAAACCAGAAAAGAUGGAAGAAGAAGAAUGGCAACUUCUUGAUAGACAAGUUCUGGGCAUUAUCCGGCUAUCGUUAUCAAGAAGAGUUGCUCACAAUGUUACGAAAGAAAAAUCCACUGCAAAAUUGAUGGAAGCCUUGUCUGGGAUGUAUGAGAAGCCAUCAGCAAAUAAUAAAGUGCACCUGAUGAAAAAGUUGUUCAACUUGAAGAUGGUCGAAAACGCUUCUGUGACACAACACCUCAACAACUUUAAUACCAUCACAAAUCAAUUAUCAUCUGUUGCGAUUGAGUUUGAUGAUGAGAUUCGUGCACUCAUCUUGCUAGCUUCACUUCCAAGCAGUUGGGAAGGCAUGAGGACAGCCGUGAGCAAUUCAGCUGGAAAAUCCAAACUGAAGUAUGAUGACAUUCGAGACUUGAUUUUGGCUGAAGAAGUGCGAAGGAAAGACUCGGGUGAAAGUUCAAGCUCAGGAUCAGCUCUCAACAUCAACACUCGAGGGAGGAGACACGAUAGAGGCUCAUCCAGAGGCAGAUCAAAAUCCAGAUACAGAAGUAAAAGCAAGUUUGGAUCCAGAAAGCAGGUUGAAUGUUGGAAUUGUGGCAAACCUGGUCAUUUCAGUAGGAAUUGCACAAAACCGAAGAAACCUGAAGCUGACUCUGCAAACGCUACCACAGAUGAGGUACAAGAUGCUUUAAUUCUUGCUGCAAAGUCAAAUUGAUGAGUGGAUUCUUGAUUCUGGUGCUUCAUUCCACUGUACGCCACACAAUGAAAUGCUGCAAAAUUAUGUUGGAGGAGAUCAUGGUGUAGUCUAUCUGGCCGAUGGAACACCACUGAAUAUUGUGGGUAUAGGAGAUGUGCAAAUCAAGACAAUGAAUGGAUCUAUAUGGACCUUGCAGAAUGUAAGGCAUGUUCCUGAAUUAAAGAAGAAGUUGAUCUCUGUCGGACAACUUGAUGAUAGUGGUCAUUCAAUACUUUUUGCUGGAGGAAUGUGGAAAGUAUCAAAGGGAGCAAUGGUUUUAGCUCGUGGAAAGAAAACCGGCACCCUGUAUAUGACCACAAGAUUUGCAGACAUCAUUGCCUCAACUGAAGCAGAAAAUCAAGCACAUCUAUGGCAUUGUAGACUUGGCCAUAUGAGUCAAAAGGGGAUGAAGAUACUUCAGUCGAAGGGAAAGCUGCCAGAGUUAAAAAAUGUCGAUCUAGACAUUUGUGAAAGCUGUGUUCUUGGAAAACAGAAGAAGGUCAGUUUCUUGAAGGUUGGCAGGACCUUAAGACCAAGCAAGCUAGAACUGGUACACACAGAUUUAUGGGGACCGUCUCCAGUAGCAUCUCUUGGAGGUUCUCGGUAUUAUGUGACUUUUAUUGAUGAUUUCAGCAGGAAGGUAUGGGUUUACUUUCUGAAAAAUAAAUCUGAUGUGUUUGAAACAUUCAAGAAAUGGAAGGCUAUGGUUGAGACUGAAUCAGGUCUAAAGUUGAAAUGCUUGAGAUCUGAUAAUGGAGGAGAAUACAUUGAUGGAGGUUUCAAGGAGUAUUGUGCUGUCAAUGGUAUCAGAAUGGAAAAGACCGUUCCAGGCACACCGCAACAGAAUGGCGUUGCUGAACGGAUGAACAGGACCAUCAAUGAACGAGCUAGAAGCAUGAGGUUGCAUUCUGGGUUACCUCAAACAUUCUGGGCUGACGCAGUUCAUACCGCAGUUUACUUGAUCAACCGUGGACCAUCAGUUCCUUUGGAAUUCAGACUGCCCGAGGAAGUAUGGAGAGGAAAAGAGGUACAACUCUCUCAUUUGAAGGUCUUUGGGUGUGUUUCCUAUGUUCACAUAGAUUCUGAUGCUCGCAACAAGUUAGAGCCAAAUCCAAGAAAUGUUUCUUCAUUGGCUAUGGAGAUGAAGAAUUUGGAUUUCGGUUCUGGGAUGAUCAGAAUAGAAAGAUUAUCAGAAGCAGGAACGUGAUCUUCAAUGAGAAAGUUAUGUACAAAGACAGAUCAAGUGGAGAAACAGAGAUGGCUGAUUCAGAUACAAGUCCACAAAGAUCUGAAUUCAUAAGAUUAGAAGGGCUUCCCGAUGUUACUAAGCAGAACAACAAUCAAGAGUCUUUACAAGAAGAUUCAAGCACAUUUGUGCCCACUUCCACACAAGAAGAUGCGGAGCAACUUGAACCAGCUGUUCGCAGGUCUUCGAGGACGAUAAAGCCCCCGCAACGGUUCACACUUUUACUGAAUUAUAUUUUGCUGACAGAUGGUGGUGAACCGUUAUCUUAUGAAGAAUCCUUACAAGAUGGAAACUCAAGCAAGUGGGAGUUAGCCAUGAAGGAUGAGAUGAGUUCGUUGCUGAAGAACAAGACUUGGGAGCUAACAACAUUACCUGAAGGAAAGAAGGCCUUGCAAAAUAAGUGGGUCUACAGAGUGAAGACUGAGCAUGACGGAAGCAAACGGUUCAAGGCAAGACUUGUUGUCAAAGGGUUUCAACAGAAGAAAGGCAUUGACUACUCUGAGAUUUUUUCUCCAGUUGUGAAGCUCACAACAAUCAGAGUUGUUCUGGGGAUAGUAGCUGCAGAAAAUUUACAUCUUGAACAGUUAGAUGUAAAAACAGCAUUCCUUCAUGGUGACUUGGAGGAAGAUAUUUACAUGCAACAGCCAGAGGGGUUUGCAAUGCAAGGAAAGGAGAAUCAAGUCUGCAAGCUACAGAAAAGCCUAUACGGUUUGAAGCAAGCUCCAAGACAGUGGUACAAGAAGUUUGACAACUUCAUGUGCAGUUCCGGGUAUACAAGAUGCCAAGCUGAUCAUUGUUGCUAUGUCAAACAUUUUGACAACUCCUACAUCAUUCUACUAUUAUAUGUAGAUGAUAUGUUGAUUGCAGGAUCCAGCAUUGAGGAGAUUGAUAAGCUGAAACAGCAGUUGUCGAAACAGUUUGAAAUGAAGGAUCUGGGAGCUGCUAAACAAAUACUUGGCAUGAGAAUCAUCAGAGAUAAAGACAAAGGCAUACUAAAGCUCUCACAAACAGAGUAUGUCAAGAAGGUUCUCAGCAGGUUUAGUAUGGAUAAUGCUAAACCAGUAAGUACACCACUGGGGAAUCAUUUCAAGCUCAGCAAAGAUCAGUCACCAAAAACUGAGCUAGAAAGUGGAUACAUGGAUAAGAUUCCAUACGCCUCAGCUAUCGGCUCUUUGAUGUAUGCUAUGGUCUGUACCAGACCAGACAUUGCCCAUGCAGUGGGAGUUGUAAGCCGAUAUAUGAGCAAUCCUGGAAAGCAGCAUUGGGAGGCGGUGAAAUGGAUCAUGAGGUACUUAAAAGGUUCAUCGGAAACUUGUCUCAGUUUCACAGCUGGUGGUUUGAAACUUGAAGGUUUUGUAGAUGCUGAUCUAGCAGGAGAUGUUGAUAGCAGAAAGAGCACUACAGGAUAUGUUUAUACUCUAGGAGGUACUGCUGUUUCCUGGAGUUCUACCUUGCAAAAGAUCGUUGCUCUUUCAACAACAGAAGCUGAAUAUGUUGCAGUCUCAGAAUCUGCAAAAGAGAUAGUAUGGUUGCAGAGUUUCUUGAAAGAAUUGGGCAAGUUGAAUGGGAAAGGUACUUUGUAUAGCGACAGUCAGAGUGCAAUCUUCCUUGCCAAGAAUCCAGCAUUUCACUCCAGGACGAAGCAUAUUCAGAUCAAAUAUCACUUCAUCCGACAACUGCUGGACGACGAGCAACUAAUGCUAGAAAAGAUCUGUGGAAGCAAGAAUCCAGCUGACAUGUUAACCAAAGGAGUUACACUUGAGAAACUGAAGUUGUGCAAAACUUCAGUUGGUCUUCAAGGAUAAAAAAAGGGAUUUCAUUGUUUGUCUCCAAGUGGGAGAUUGUUAGCAUUAUGGAGACAAGCAAGCCCCACCAUGUGCAAGUGGAAUUCUAGUCUCCCACUUAGCACAUGGUGGAGGACACCCCCCACUCCCACAUUUGUAUAUCUAUGUGUGUGCUGUGUAUUGUAGCUUGUGAACUGAAGCUGCGAGAGAAACACAGAGAGAGUUGUGUGAAACACAGAGAGAAGAGAGAGCUUGAGUGUAGAGUUGAGAUGAGAACAUUCUCCUCCUCUUGUUGUUGUAUUAUUUCUUUGUAAGCUUGAUUAAUACAACUAGUAGCUCCGUGGAGUAGGCAAGUUGCCGAACCACGUAAAUUGUGCGUGUUUGAGUUCUGGAUAUAACCCAACAACUUGUUCAUCAUUUUCUCCCUGACACUUUUCAAAUAGAGGAGCAUCUUAUCAUUGUCAGGAAUGUUUUCUUUAAUCAGAGGAACUUCAAUGAAAUUCUGGGCCCAAGCAUGCAAUCGAGGCAGUGUGCUUGGUUCCAGAACUUUCACACCCGCUAUAUCUUCAAUGGCUGCAAGCCAAUAAGCGAAGAGUCCAUAUGAGAUGUCAACUAGAUUUAUGCUGUCACCGCCAAAAAACUUCUUGUCCCCGAGACCUUGCUCUUCUAAGACUCUCAACCCUUCCGCCACUUCUUUCACUGCCUUCUCUAGCUCCUCUCCACUAGCUCGGAAAAGGGGAACUAAGGCAGCACUCUAAAUAAUGAAAGAAUUCAAUUUACUUGUCACAGAACAGAGAUAAAUGAAUAGAUAUUUGAAGGUGUUUAGCCUGAGGAGAGUAAAAAUAAAAGAAGGCAAGUUGUGAGAAAUUUUUAAUUAUUAUUCCACUGUAAGAACAAGAAGAAGAAAAUGUUUUUUGGAAUCGAUUGUUUUUUUCCAGGACUGCUACCAGAUCAAAUUAAAAAUUGUGGGCCUCAUGAACAGUUACAAAAUAUAUACAAGAAGAUGGAUCUCGUUACCUUGGUAACUCCAUAUUGAAUCCAAAACCGAGCCAGGGCUCUCUCGUAAGGAUCUGUCGGUAGCAGUGGAUUCUCCGGCCAUGUUUGCUCGAUGUAUUCAAGGAUAACAAGAGACUCCGCAAUCGGCUUGCCACCAUGGACGAGCACAGGGAUUUUCUUGUAAACUGGGUUAUACUUCAAUAGCAGUUCACUUUUAUUGGUGAGGUCUUCUUCAAUAUACUCAAACUCCACGCCCUUUAGUUUCAGAGCCCAUAUAACUCUGUAACUAAAAGCGCUAGCCCAGAAACCAUGCAGCUUCACAUCUGCCAUCGUUGCAAUGAGAUCAGUAUGCAAGGUCUACUGCUGUGCCGAGUCAUCUUAUAGCGACUCUUGGCUUGGGCAAUAAGUUUUGGAUGCAAGAAACUUUUUUUUAUAAAUGAUUGAUGACUUAAUAUUUUAAUUCUCCCAUAUGUUUUUUUAGAUAUUAGGUGAAUAAUUUUUUAUAUUAAAAGAUAAUAUAUUUUGGUACCUAACUUUAUUUUUAUUUUUUUUAGUUGUUUUCUAUUAAGAAGAGAGAGAAAGAGUCAUUGAAUUUCAACUUAGACAAAAAAUAUUAUCACUAGAAAGAUUCUACAACCAAAACAAUUAAUUUUUAUAUUAAAAUAUUUCAUAUAAUCAGGGGAUUAUGUUUAGGGGUUUGUGUUGCCUUGAAAACACCUCAAACAACAAAUUUAAGCCCAUGAAAAAUUCUAUUUUCUAGUGUUUUUGGGUUUGUGGUGGUUUAUUGGGUUUAUGGAGAUUAUGAAUUGGUUUAAUAAGGUUUUUAAAGUGUUUUCAAUACGUUUUAAGUCAAAAUAGGUUCAAAAUGAGAUUUUGGAUGAAUAAACAAAAGACCUAAUUAUGGUUUAAUAAGUUUUAUUGGGUUUCACAAUCUUUUUAAAAAAAAAAAUUAGUUUUUUAAAAAAUAAUACAUUAUUCGUGUAUAUUUUUUCAAAUAAAUUUUGGGUUUAUAUUGUAAAAAGAUUAUGAUUAUUUUAAAAUGAUAUUGGGUGUUUUUUAUUUUUAGAGAGGCGAGUGUGAUUUAUCUGUGAUUUUUUCUAAAUUUUAUAUAGAUUAAGUUUUUUUUUAAUAUGAUUUUAAAAAAAAAAAAUUAUAUGUGUAACUUUGCAUUGUUUUUUUAAUUAUUGUUCAGUAAAUUUUAUGUGUGUGUCAAUUUCUAUUAUAAAUUUUAUGUGUUUUUCUUUUACAAAUUUAUUUUGAUAAAUGAAUUCAUUAGAUAUAAUUAAGUAAAUUACUUUAAUUGUAAUUUUAGAUAUCUUGAUUUUUAUUUUUAGCUUAGUUUUCUCAAAUUCAUUUUUAUCCAUUGUUGAUGAUUUUUUCCCAUUACUUUACACAAUAGUUAUUGGAUUGUUUAAUUAGAUGCGUGCAUAAAUUAUUUGAUUUAUAUCUAAGAGUUUUUUUUAGUAUAAUAAAACACAUUGAAGAACUUUGUAUAUUCAAUUUUAUUUAUGUUUUGAUGUUAAAGAUUUGAUAUUUAUUCUUAUAAUUUUUAAUUUGUUUCUUUGAAUUUUUUAUGAAAGUUUCAUUAUUCAAUUCAAGUUUAUAAUGUAUUGUUUUUUUUUUUUUUAUCUUUUAUCUUUUUUUUUCUUUUAUUAAUGUUUUUAUUCUCUUUAAUUUAGCUCUCAAAACUAAAAUUCGUUGUUGCCUUUUGAUUUAUUUUUAUUGCAAUUUUAACACUCAUUGUUUUUAUUUUGGAUUUUUAUGUUGUUUUUUUUUUUAAUGAUUUUAACUCUCAUGAUUUUUUCAAGUAUAAUGUUUUCGGUUUUAUAACCCGGAUCAUGGUCUAAAAAGUUAGAAAUAAUUAACUUUUUUAUCUUAUUUUUUAUAUUCAUAUUUUUUUUCUUUCUAUAAAAUUAUCAUAUUCUCAUUUAAUUUUUAUUUUGUUAACAAAUAAAAUCAUUAAGAUGUUUUUAGAAAAUUGUGAAGAUAUAUUUUUAUAAUAUUAGUAAGUGUUUAUCUUUUGCAUUAAAUCGUUAUUUUUUUUGUCUUAUUUGUCGUCGAUAUCUUUUUUUUUGACAAUAUUAUUAAAUUAACAGAGUUUAUUAGUCAAUUAUUUUAAUAUUAUAAAAUGUGUUGAAAGGAAAUGAUUUUAGAUAUAACCAUAAAAUUAUAAUUAUAAAGUUUAGAAGUCGCGAGCCACAAUUAUGAAUAUUUUUAAAAUUUAUUGAUGCGCGAGAGUCUGAGUAAAAAAAUUUAUUGUGUAAAAAGAAGAUACAUCACCAUAACAUAUCAUACUUAAAAUAAGUUAUAUUGUUGUUUGAUAAUUUUUUCCAGGUAAAAUUUUUAUUUAUUGGUUUCAUCCAAGCAAAAAUCUCUUUAAACAACUAUCGUUACCACAUAAUACGGACGUUCAUUGUUUUUGUUAAAUUAUACACUCCUCCCCUGUAAAACAGAUUGAUUGAACCUUGAGUGAAUUUGGAAAUAGCUCUAAUCUCAGGAGUCAGGAUUACUGUCAGUGAAUGUUGAUGUAAACCAGAUGAACCCUUAUUAUGGUACUUAAUUUGGCUAAAUGUUUAUAUGAAAUUCACAUACAAAUUCAUGAGCACUGUUAUUUUAUUCUGGGUGUCCCAUUCACAACAGAUCCCUUCCUGUCCAACUAGAGGUACGUGCAAGCUGACCCGAACAUCCACAUUGAUAAAAAAAAAAAUUGUCCUUCUGGUUUUUCCGGUGACCUUUCUUGGCUGUCAAGAGGCGUGGCAAAGAAGAUUAGCAUCGAUGCCGUCAUGCAUGGCGUAUAUCAAAACAGCAACGUCCAGGAGAUGAUAUGUAUGGUCAACAUUAUUAACAUUAAUAAUGCUUAUUUAACCCAGAAAAACAUGAAGUAAAUCGCAAACCGUGAGAAAUGGCUGAGAAACUUCUACAGAAAAAGAAAGAACAUGCAUCGCAUUAAUUAUUGCAUUUCUAAUCUCCACAGUCAAGUCUUACUUCGACAGAGAAUUGAAGUGAAUAUGAUUAUGUAAACAAAUAUAUCAAUAAUGGAGGAAGAAAAACUCCUUUUUGAGUUAUAUCCCUUUCAUUAACUAAAUUAUUUUGAAUUUGCUGACCCAUCACACAAAAGCAAAGGCUAAAGAAUAUUGAUGGCGGAAGUCUGUUCAAUUGUAUUAUUUAGUUAUCAGACUUUCAUGAUACGGAUCCUGAGUUUAACGGGUUAACAUGGUUUGACGAGUUAACCUGAAUUUUUUUUUCUUUUUAAUUAAUUUUUUUCGUUUAGUUCAGUUUGUUAAUAAUCACUUUUUUUUUUUAGUUACCAGACAUUCAUAACACGGAUCCGGGGUUUUACGAGUUAACUUGGUUUGACGAGUUAACCUGUAAGUUUUUUUUUUUUGCUUUUUUUUCUUUUAAAUUAAUUUUUUUUUAAUUUAAAUUGUUGAUAUUAAAUUUUUUUUAUUUAGUUAUCAAACUUUCAUGACACGGAUUCCGGGUUUGACAGGUUAACAUCAUAGUUUUGAAACCCGAUCCGGUCAUUGACCCGGUCGACCUUCUGGGUCACGGGUCAGGUGGGUUGACCCGGGUUAACCCAAAAAAACCUAUAUAUAUAUAAAAAAAAACAUAACUAAUUACAAUACAACACUUACUUAAACCAAAUUUAAAUUAUAAACCAACAACAUAAAUUUAAUUCAAUAUCCAAAAUACAAACCAAAUAUAAAUUAUAAAAUAUUUAAAACAAAACAUCCAACCACAUAAAUUCCAACAACAUAAAUUCUAAAAUAUUUAAAACAAAAUAUCAAAAUUUAAAACAACAACACAUUCACUUAUGUUGAAUUAACACAUUAAGUUAUUCUGUCUCCAUGGAAGAAAAAUUUGGAUCAAAUGUCGAUGGAAUGGAGCCAAUCUCGUCAACACCUAAUAAAUCAUCAGCAUGCUCCUUUGAAACUUCAUCGUCACAAUCAUCUUCAAUAUCAUUAACAUUUAUGACAUCUACAUUUCAAACACAAUUAAGAAAUAAAUAUUAUGUGUUAAACAAAACUUUAUUUUAAAUAAUAUUUAUCACUAAAUAAUAAUCAUUAAUUACCAUCAUCUAAAGUAUCUUGUAUGGUCAUAGUUGAUAGAGCUUGGUGAAAACUCUCUACUUCUUCCGUUGUCAAGAUUGAUGGGUCAUCUUCGACUACCCAAUUUUCAAUGUCAAAAUUGUCUCAACAUUAAUUGGAUCAUAAUUUCAUCCUUUCCAAUAAUUCCUAUAUAUUAAAAGUGAAGGUAAACACAAUAUAAGUAUUAAUAAUGCUACUAAACAAGAUAAAAUAAUAUUUAAGGAAUUAGAGAAAAGAAAAAUACUUUUGUUUCAAUCUUAGAUUGCAGUGGACGUAAACAAGGUCAUUAAGCCUUUGGUGCUCCAAUCUAUUUCUCUUCUUGGAAUGAAUAUGUUCAAACAUACUCCAAUUUCUCUCACAUCCCGAAGAACUACAAGUUUGACUUAACACUCGUAUAGCCAAUUGUUGUAGAUUUGGAGCGCUGGUUCCAUAUGUCAUCCACCAUUCAUCUAUACAAAAAAAUAAUAAGUAAAAGUGUAAGACUGUCAAAUAAUAUUUUUAAAUAUAAAAAUUAUAUACCUGGAGGCAUAAGGGUGCGAUUAUUUAUUGCGGACGCUUGACCAAAGUCAUGUUCAACAUUCCUAAAAAACUUCAUCUCACUUGUAAUCUUACUUUGCAAUGGUAGAUUUCCAUGUGCAUACUUCUCAAGAACAUCUAGAAGUCCAGAAAUGGUGCUCAUAUGUUUAUCCAUUAUAUUUGCAUCAUAUUGAAAUCGAGGAUUCAACCAAAAUGCUGCUGUAUAAAGAUUUUUAUAAAGUUGUCCACCCCACCGAUUAUUGAUAAUGUUUAUGAAAGGUUUCACUCUAGCCUUUCUUUUUUGAAAUCUCCUCAUCAUUUCUUCUUUUGCAUGAUUAAUAGCAUCAUAUAAAUAUUCCAUCGAAGGUUUAUCAUCACCAUCAACCAUUCGUAGAACUCAAAUUAAAGGUUCACUCAUUCGCACAAUUAUUGCACAUUCUUCCCAAAACAAAGAGUCUAGCACACUUCAACAAACUUUUUUCCUUUGAUAUCUUUAGCAUAAGCAGAUGAGACCCAUUCCCUAGAUGUCACCAUAGCUCUCAACUCAUCUUUAUGAGCUAAAAUGCUUUGCAAUGCAAUGAAAUUGGUGGCAAAACGAGUAGGAGCUGGACGAAGUAUUUCUUUUCCUCCAGUGAACUUCCUCAUCAAAUACAAUGGAUAACAAUGAUUAUAAAUGUACUUUGUGAUACCAGAAGCAUGCUCAACAACAAACAAACUGACUGCAAUUUACCAAUGUCCUGGAGUAUGAGGUUGAUGCAAUGAGCAGCACAAGGAGACCAAAAUAUUGAAGGAAAUUCUUCCAUCAAUAACCUGCCAGCAGCAACAUAAUUUGCAGCAUUAUCAGUCACCAUAUGCACAAUGUUUUCUACCCCAACAUACAAAACAACCUCUCUAAACAACUGAUACAACAAUCUAGCAGUCUUUGAGACAUCUGAUACAUCCACCGUUUUCAAAAAAAUUGUUCCUUUAGGACAAUAUACUAAGAAGUUAAUUAAAGUCCUCCUCUUCUGAUCUGUCCAUCCAUCAGCCAUUAAUGUGCAACCAGUCUUCUUCCAAAUCUCCCGAUAACUCUCAACAUAAAUCUUCACUUCAUCAACCGCUUUUGCCAAGUAAUAACCACGGAUAGCAUGCAAGUUUGGUCCUUUAUAACCAGGACCCAUGGUUGUUACAGCAUCUAUGGCAUGCUGAUAAUACACAGAGUUAACAAUAUUAAAUGGAACACAUGCAUCAAACAUCCACUUCGCUAAAGCAAGAUCACACCGUUCAACUGCUUCUUUCCUUUGCCAACAAUUCUGAAGAGACUUUUGAGCACCAGGAGUUGUUCUCGGCAUGAAAUAUAUCCCUAAUGUUGCAGAUUUCUUCUGCUUUCCAUAGCUUGUAGUUGAUUGUUUUAUAGUACCGGUGCUUUGAAUCUUUUUCUUUUUUGCAACCUUCGGUGGUAACAUAUGUUUUUUAGUAUUGACAUCCUCAUCCUCCUCCUCCUCAUCAUCACCAUCAUCUUCUAAUUGCCUAAUCAUUAUCUCUUCAUGCUCCCUUUGUUGUGCAUUAAAGGGAUUGAAAUCUGCUUGUAUUUCUCUAAUUCUUUUUUUCGUUUCAACAUUUCCUUUAAGGUUCAAAAGCAUUUGAUGUCGAACAUCAGGAGGACAUUUGCGACAUUGUUCAACUUCUCCUUUAGCUCCAGCUAAAUGUUGCUUAAAUCGAUUAAUACCACCACCCGCAAAUACUUUAGCACAAUAUAAACAAAACUAAUUUAGUUUUUUUACAUCCAACACUAAGUUCAGGAGCUUCUCUACAAUGACCCCAUGCUAAAUCUGUUUUUCCUCUACUACCACUUGACAUGGAAAUUGAAGGUUGAGAUGAUUGGGCCGUUGAAGGAUCACUACUUGGAGUACUACCAUCAUGUGAAGACAUUUUCAAACCUGACAUAAUGCAAUAGAAUUGCAUAAGUUUCGAUCACUGAUGAAGAAAAAUAAACUUUAUGCAUGACAAAAAUAAUUCUGAAUUCAACACUCCAAUUUACCCUGACACUCCAAUCCAUCCAUACACUCCCAAAACACCAACUAAAAAUUACUCAAUUUUUUCCUCUACACUUUUCCUUCAACUAUUAACAAUUGAAUUGCUAAACCAAACUCUAAAUUACUCAAUUUUUUCCUCUACACUUUUGCAUGGUGAGCAUUGCCUUCUUUUUUCAUAACGUUUAAUUCCCUUUUGGUUCCUUAUAAUUUAUGUUCUUUUUCUUUCCUAACCGUCUUGAUUGUUGGAUUUUUCAUAUGUCUGGUAUAGAUUCUGUUAUCUUUCAAGACUAAUUACUUGAUUUUGGGUAUUCUAACAUGCUUAUUUCUUGUAAUAAAACUGUUGAUACUUUCGUAUAUUUCUGCCAUGUAAUUCCUAUCUGUAAAUUGCAUUUUGCAUAAUCCUAAACUAUUUCUGCCAUGUAAUUCCUAUCUGGUAUUCUAGCAUUCAAUCAUAGUUUUAUGUGUAGAUGUUAGCAUCUGUCUCUUGAAACUAUUUGAUAAUUUUGAGAAUUGAGAUACAUGAGCAGCAGAUUAAGGUAAAUAUGCAAUGUUGGCUGUGCUUUUUUGCUUGUUAUAACAUUUGAUAUUCACAAUCAAGCACAAAAUUGAUAUUCAACUCAGAAACAGUUAUAAUAGCCUAACCGAACAAACAAACUCGUCAAAUGAACAAAUCAGACGCCUUUAUUUCUCUAAAAUUCCUCUUCGUUAAUCACUAAUUACAAAAACAACACAAACAAACCUCGAAUAAUUAAGUUCAUAAAACAUGCUAGAAACAGAGACUAUGUUGUUUGUUUGCAUAGAAACAGAGACUGUUGCUCAAAAUCAAGAACUACCAAGAUGUUUCAGUGAGCCUUGAAAGAAGAAACCAUGCAACGGUUGAAUGAUUAUGUAACAGUUGUAUGAAUCGACAGAGAGUUCAUCAAGAAGUGAUGAAGAACACAGACGAAUUGAAUUGAUGAAGAAAAUACAGACACUGUAGCAGCAAUCGGGUUGGAGAAACAUACCUGAGGGCUGAGGUUUCUUCUUCUGCGAAAUCGAUUGAAGAACCCAGAAGUAUGAACUUGAAUCGCAGGAGUGAAGAAACACAGAAGUAUGACCUUGAAACUGAAAUUAAUGCCAGAACCCAGAAAUGAGAAAACGACGAAGAAUAAACAAAACAGAGAGUGAAAGAAGGAGAUUCAAACCUUUUUCGCAGAGAUCAAUGGUUAAUUCGUUCUUCUUCUGCUUCGUUCAAUUCGGGCGAGACAGAUUAGGUCUUCGUUCUUCGUUCGAUUGCUUCAUUCUUCUUCUGCUUCACUUUUCGGUGCGAUUGUAUAUUUUAGAGUCAUUAAACGGCGUCGUUUAAUGACAGGGGGAGUAAAAAAAAAUAGUGGCCGGGUGGACCGGGUCCCGGGUCGACCCACCGGGUGGACCGGGUUUGACCGGGCCAAUUCCCAAGCGGGUUUUGGCCUCCACCCGGACCGGUUCCAUGCCCGGGUCGACCCGCCAGGCCGGUCCGGGUUUAAAAACUAUGGUUAACAUGGUUUGACGAGUUAGCCCGGUUAAUUCUGGGUUAACCUAUUAAUUUGUUUUUUUCUUUUUAAUUAUCAAACUUUCACGAUGCGAAUUCAAGGUAUGACGGGUUAACCUGGUUUGAAUGGUUAACCCAAUCAAUUCAUUUUUUUUUCUUUUUCGUCAUUAGUUUUUUUUCUUCCUAUUGGUUUUUUUUCUUUGUUUUUUUUUUUAACUAAUCUAUUUAAUUAUCAAACUUUUAUGACACGACCUUGCAGCCAGACCCACGUCCAAUGCUAUUGGGUCUGGUAUUGUAGUCCAGACACUUUUAUGCUAAAGGUUAACCCAAGUUUAAUGUUAUUAUUAAUAUUAUAAAUAUUACUCUUGGAUCAGGCGUUACAACCAAACCUAAGACUCUUAGAUAUAACUUUGCAAAAAAACCUAAUACUUUUAGAUGUUGAUUAUUUUUUAAAUGCAAAAAUUAAUCAAUUCGCGGCAUCGCGCGUGGCAUGUAAGUAGUAAAUGACAAUGGCAGGUAAAGAACAAUCACCAUGCAAAUCCCUUGGUCAUGGCGGAGGUAGUGAAUCUCCUCGGAGCAUUGUCCAGCCCAUUUGUUUUCCGAGUGAUAUGGGCUCUAAAAAUGAAGGGCAUUCCAUAUGAGUUCAUAGAAGAAGAUGUUACCAACAAAAGUCCUCUGCUUCUGAAGAACAACCUUGUUCUUAAGAAGAUCCCAANNNNNNNNNNNNNNNNNNNNNNNNNNNNNNNNNNNNNNNNNNNNNNNNNNNNNNNNNNNNNNNNNNNNNNNNNNNNNNNNNNNNNNNNNNNNNNNNNNNNNNNNNNNNNNNNNNNNNNNNNNNNNNNNNNNNNNNNNNNNNNNNNNNNNNNNNNNNNNNNNNNNNNNNNNNNNNNNNNNNNNNNNNNNNNNNNNNNNNNNNNNNNNNNNNNNNNNNNNNNNNNNNNNNNNNNNNNNNNNNNNNNNNNNNNNNNNNNNNNNNNNNNNNNNNNNNNNNNNNNNNNNNNNNNNNNNNNNNNNNNNNNNNNNNNNNNNNNNNNNNNNNNNNNNNNNNNNNNNNNNNNNNNNNNNNNNNNUGAAAUGAAUUGUGUAUCUAUCCAUUCUAUGAAAUAGAAAAAACAAAUUGCAUGUUUAGCACAACACACAGUGCCAAAGGCCUUGACAUUGCAGCAGCCUAGACACAACAACAUUUUCCAAUUUAACUUUCACACACUUGUUUUAUUUAUUUAUUUCAUUUGGGUUAACAGCAACGCAGAUAUUAGCAAUAGAAAUGUAUUCACAAAACAAUAUCAAUAGCAAUCCUGUAAAGGAACAGACGUCAAGUAUCAAAAUCAGAAAUAUAAUCUUCUAUACAAUGAUCGGCAGAGAGUUCAUCAACACAUCAUGGUAACAGUUCAUCAUGGAAAACAACAACACAGACGAAUUUGAAUUGAUGAAGAAAAUACAGACACUGUAGCAGCAAUCGGGUUGGAGAAACAUACCUGAGGGCUGAGGUUUCUUCUUCUGCGAAAUCGAUGGCAGCAAGUGAAGAAACACAGAAGUGUGAACUUGAAUCGGGUUGAAACUUGAAACUGAAAUUGAUGCCAGAACCCAGAAAUGAGAAAACGGCGAAGAAUAAACAAACAGAGAGUGAAAGAAGGAGAUUCAAACCUUUUUCGCAGAGAUUAAUGGUUAAUUGCUUCAUUCUACUUCUGCUUCGUUCAAUUCGGGCGAGACAGAUUAGGUUUCGUUCUUCGUUUGUCUUCUGUCUUCGCUAAACAAAGAAGCAUGUUUUUAGAGUCAUUAAACGGCGUCGUUUAAUGACAGGGAGAGUUAAAAAAAAAGUGGUCGGGUGGACCGGGUCCCGGGUCGACCGGGUUUGACUGAAACAAUUCCCAAGUGGGUUUUGGCCUCCACCCGGACCGGUUCCAUGCCUGGGUCGGCCGGGUCCCGGGUCGACCCGUCGGGCCGGUCCGGGUUUAAAAACUAUGGGCGGAGCUGAGAUUAUUUGAUAGGAAGGGUCAUAACUGAUGUUAUAAGAUAUAAUUUUUUAUAUGUAAACCACACUAAUUUAUAAAAGCAAAAUUAACAUAUUAAAAAAAAAAUUAUUUAUAAAAACAAAUCUAACAUAAAAAAUUGAAUUAUUGGUUUCUAAAGAAUAAAACUUAAAUUGAAUUAAAGAUGGACAUGUGCUUUUCAAAACACUUAAUUUGGCUAGAAAGAUUGUGUCUAAUUGUAUAUUGGACCUAGUGAUAGUAAGGUACAUGUGAGGAAAAAAAUUAAUAAUUUUGACAGCUCUGCUAAAAAUAAAACAUAAAAAAAUAUAUGUCUAAUCGACAUAAACCCAUAAAAUAUAUUCAAUUCAUUAGAAAAAACAACAUUCACUAUAGCAAGAAAUAAAAAAAAAUGGGAAGACUAGUAGAUAUAGAAAAAAAAAAAAUAGCGCACGCGCACACCUUAGCAAAUUCUUAACAAACAUAAAAAAACAAACAAAAGAUUUUAAAUUUGAGUCACUAAUUACAUUGUUUCGAUAAACAAUGAAUUAAUUGAUAACUUUGCUUUAACUUUUCCGCAUUGCUUUGUAUUUUUUUAUUUUUUUUUGUUAGGACUCUGGAGAAUGAAAAUAGAAAAACAAUAAAGAAAGGUAACUUUUCCACAGUAAAACAUUGAUUCCUUAGGCGUUUUUUUUUUUUGUCAUAGUUUUUUUAUGCUUUUUGGGAUUUUUUUUGCUUCUUCCUUUGUUUUUUUUUCUUUUAACAAAAUGUUUUUGUUUAAUUUAGUUUAUUGAUGUUAAAUUUUUUUAUUUAGUUGUCAGACUUUCCUGACAUGUUUACCGGAUUUAACGGGUUAACCUGGUUUGACAAGUUAAAAUAGAAUAUUUAUUUUUGCUUUUUAUUCUUUUUAAUUAAUUUUUUUCGUUUAGUUUAGUUUGUUAAUGUUAAAUUUCUUUCUAUUAGUUAUUAGACUUUCAUGACACAUAUCCCGAGUUUCGCGGGUUAACCUGAUUUCACGGGUGAACCCAGUUAAUUCUGGGUUGACCCGUCAAUUUAUUUAUUUAUUUUUAUUUUCAUAAUUUUUUUUGUUUAAUUUAGUUUGUUAAUGUUAAAUUUUUUUUAUUUAGUUAUCAGACUUUCAUGACACGGAUCCUGGGUUUAACAUGGUUUGACGAGUUAACUUGGAUUUUUUUUUCUUUUUAAUUAAUUUUUUUUGUUUAGUUCAGUUUGUUAAUGUUCAUUUUUUUAUUAUUUAGUUACCAGACAUUCAUAACACGGAUCCGGGGUUUAACGGGUUAACUUGGUUUGACGAGUUAACCUGAAAAAAAAAAUUUUUGUUUUUUUUUCUUUUAAAUUAAUUUUUUUUGUUUAAUUUAAAUUGUUGAUGUUAAAUUUUUUUUAUUUAGUUAUCAAACUUUCAUGACACGGAUUCCGGGUUUGAUAGGUUAACAUGGUUUGACGAGUUAGCCCAGUUAAUUCUGGGUUAACCCAUUAAUUUGUUUUUUCCUUUUUAAUUAUCCAACUUUCACGAUGUGAAUUCAAGGUAUGACGAGUUAACCUGGUUUGAAGGGUUAACCCAAUCAAUUCAUUUUUUUUUCGUUUUCUUCAUUAGUUUUUUUCUUCCUGUUGGUUUUUUUUCUUUAUUUUUUUCUUUUUAACUAAUCUAUUUAAUUAUCACACUUUUAUGACACGACCUUGCAGCCAGACCCACGUCCAAUGUUAUUGGGUCUGGUAUUGCAAUCCAGACACUUUUAUGCUAAAGGUUAACCCAAGUUUAAUGUUAUUAUUAAUAUUAUAAAUAAUACUCUUGGAUCAGGCGUUACAACCAAACCUAAGACUCUUGGGUAUAACUUUGUAAAAAAACUUAACACUUUUAGAUCUUAAUUAUUUUUUAAAUGCAAAAAAUAAUUGACUCGCGCGGAGCAUGUAAGUAGUAAAUGACUAUGGCAGGUAAAGAACAAUCACCAUGCAAAUCCCUUGGUCAUGGCGGAGGUAGUGAAGCUGCUUUGAGCAUUCUCCAGCCCAUUUGUUUUCCGAGUGAUAUGGGCUCUAAAAAUGAAGGGCAUUCCAUAUGAGUUCAUAGAAGAAGAUGUUACCAACAAAAAGUCCUCUGCUUCUGAAGAAUAACCCUGUUCUUAAGAAGAUCCCAGUGCUUCUCCAUGGCGAAAAACCAGUUUGCGAGUCCAUGAUUAUUGUCGAAUACAUCGAUGAGAUAUGGCCCCAAAAUCCCUUGUUGCCCAAUGACCCUUACGAGAGAGCUCCGGCUCGUUUCUGGGUCAAAUUUACCGACGAUAAGGUAAAGAGUACAGGCAUCAUUUUACAUUACAUAAAUAUUACUAUGAAACCGAGUUCUGGGCUUUAAAAAAAAAUUGGUUUCUGCUGAUUUGGUUAGUUCAUGAUCGAUGAUGAAUCAUUAGGUUGACUUGCCGAGCUGUUCUGAUAAAAUUGAUUAAGGGAAAAAAAGUAAAUGGAAAGGAAUAUAAAAGAAAUACAACAGUGUUUAUACACCAUUCCGGAAUUUAAUAAAAUAGCAGCAUCAACCGACAACCAUUAUGGAGUGUUACAGUAGAAAAACAAGCUCAACUACAAGAGAAAAACCAUCCAUGGAAACGAAAAGGUGAGGCAUACAUGGAAUAUUUCGCAUCCAAAAGCAUAAUAUAGGCUACUCGUUCAUCAAUUUCUCCCUGAAACCUUUCAUAAAGAGUAGCAACUUAUCAUUAUCAGGAAUGUUUUCUUUAAUCAGAGGAACUUC